GAGAGAGAGAGAAAGAGAGAAAGAGAGAAAGAAAGAAAGAAAGAAAGAAAGAAAGAAAGAAAGAAAGAAAGAAAGAAAGAAAGAAAGAAAGAAAGAAAGAAAGAGAAAGACAGAAUGCAGACAGAGAGAAAGAAAGAAAGAGAGACAGAGAGAGACAGAGAGACAGAGAGAAAGAAAGAAAGAGAGAGAGAAGGAAGGAAAGAAAGAAAGAAAGAAAGAAAGAAAGAAAGAAAGAAAGAAAGAAAGAAAGAAAGAAAGAAAGAAAGAAAGAAAGAAAGAAAGAAAGAAAGAGAAAGACAGAAUGCAGACAGAGAGAAAGAGAGAGAGAGAAAGAAAGAAAGAAAGAAAGAAAGAAAGAAAGAAAGAAAGAGAGACAGAGAGAGACAGAAAGAGAGACAGAGAGAAAGAAAGAAAGAAAGAGAGACAGAGAGAGAGAGACAGAGAGAAAGAGAGAAAGAGAGAAAGAAAGAAAGAGAGACAGAGAGAGAGAGACAGAGAGAAAGAAAGAAAGAAAGAGAGACAGAGAGAGAGACAGAGAGACAGAUAGAAAGAAAGAAAGAGAGAGAGAGAAAGAGAGAAAGAAAGAGAGACAGAGAGAAAGAGAGAGAGAGAGAAAGAGAGAAAGAAAGAAAGAAAGAGAGACAGAGAGAGACAGAAAGAGAGACAGAGAGAAAGAAAGAAAGAAAGAGAGACAGAGAGAGAGAGACAGAGAGAAAGAGAGAAAGAAAGAAAGAGAGACAGAGAGAGAGAGACAGAGAGAAAGAAAGAAAGAAAGAGAGACAGAGAGAGAGACAGAGAGACAGAUAGAAAGAAAGAAAGAGAGAGAGAGAAAGAGAGAAAGAAAGAAAGAGAGACAGAGAGAAAGAGAGAGAGAGAAAGAGAGAAAGAAAGAAAGAAAGAGAGACAGAGAGAGAGACAAAGAGAGACAGAGAGAAAGAGAGAGAGACAGAGAGAAAGAAAGAAAGAGAGAGAGAAAGAAAUAGAGAAAGACAGACAGAAAGAAAGAAAGAGCGAAAGAAAGAAAAGGAAAAAGGAAAGGAAGAAAAAAAAAAGGAGGAAGAGAAAGGAAGAAAAAAAAUGAAAAAGGAAAAGGGUGAGAGUGAAAAAGAAAGAGCGAAAGUGGAAAAGGGGGUGAAAAACAGAGUGAAAAAAAGAAAAAAGAGUUGGAGUGGAAAAGAAAGGACAUUCGGGAGGGGCGGUGCUGCCUAAGGUGCUUCCGCGCCCAGGAGCGAAGGAGCCGUUUGACCUCCUGGCGGGAGCGCAGCUCCCGGUGGCGGAGAACGGAGCGGUGGCUGUCAGUCCGAGACUCCAACUCCCGGCAGGCCCUGCGGCCGUAAAGCGCGGCGUCUGACGCAACGGCCGACGCGCCAUAUGAAUGGCUGGCGGGCCGAGGCGGCCGCGCGCCGGGGGAGCGGGGAGCUCCCGGCGCCUGUGCCACGCGGGACGGAGCCGCGGCAGCGACGCUGGAGGGGCGAAGCCUCCGUCCGGCCGCCCGCACGGAGCCGAGCGGCGCGGAAGGGGCGUCCGCCCGGUGCCUCGGCCUCGCUCAGCGGUCCCGGUGGCGGGGGCUCAGCUCGGGCGGGGCGCGCUGCCGCCCGCCGAUGGCGGAGCGCCAGGCGGUGCUUUGCUGCCGCGGGCCGGGAGCUGCAGGAGCCGCCCCGGGCGAGCGGCGCCGGGCGCUGCCGCGGUCACUGUGCGGCGGCUGCCCUCGGGCUGGCGGAGGCGCGGGAGCCGCCGAGCUGCAGCCGUCUCCCUCGGGCCGCUGCCGCUGCUGCGGGCGGGGGCGGACGAGCGGCUGCGGAGGCGGCUCCGCGGCGGGCUCAGCCUUGCGAGCAGAGAGCGCUCGACAUCGCUGGCAUGACACGGCUGCUGAGUGCCUCAGUGCUCGUGGCUCUUCCUUCCACGCAAACAGAUGGAGCGGCAUCGCUGAGCAGUAAAACACAGCGAUGGCCCGGAGAAUGGCGAGCGCAAGGAGCGCCGGGCAGGAUCCUUCUGAUGGCACAGGGUACUCAGAAAAUAUUUUUCCCUUAGAGUCCCACUGAAACAUUCUCCGUGCAAUGUCCGUUAAGUGCCAGGAGUCUGGAGAAACUGGAGAAGAGCCCAAGAGACAUUUUUCAUCCUGAGAUACAAAAGGGAUUGGUGAAUUUUAAAUUUGGAGUCCUCUAUGCUAAGGAUGGUCAGCUUACAGGUGAUGAAAUGUUCAGUCAUGGGCAGGGAAGGACUCUCGUAUCCCGGUCGUCAGACUCAGCGCUGCCCGAGAAGAUACAGAGACUGUAAAAAUCAUAAGGAGCAGCUAGGACUGCAGAGGAAACAAACUGGAGAGAACAAAAGGUGAUAUUGUUCUCCUUCCCCUGGAUUAGAAACAUCCACUGCGCUUUGAUGCCAGUGGCUGCCAGGGGCUCGUUAGGUCUCUUGAGGCAGGUGUAGGUGUUCACUUGUAGGUUCUAUUUUUUGGCAAAGGACCACGAGAGAAGUUUAUUUAUAGAUCCAAAUAAACAUUCAUCUUAUCUGAACAUAACCUGUCAUCCCCUUUCUGACAUUAAGGACUCCUGUAUAAAUACUUGGGGGGGUUUUCUUUGUCAUUUCUGAAUGGUUCCAUUUUGCCGGAUACUUGAACGAGUCUGAGGUGGUUUAAUUGCAUACUGCUUCCUUGAAAUUCUGUUGGUCUCUGCUUGGAACCCUUCUUGUACUGCUUAAUGAAAGACUUCUGAUGGUGUUUUCUUGCCUGUUUGUGGUUAAGGUCAUGCUCUGAUGCAUUUACAGAAGCCAUGGCAGGAGAGAGUCAGCUGCUGGAGAAGAGGAGACAGUAUUAUCCCUGUGCAGCACGGAACUGUGCCACUGCUGUGUCAUCAGCUGUGUCUGCACUGAAAGUAGCCACCUUCACUUGUAGGUAGCUCCUUGGUGCUUUAGGACACGCUGAGGGAUUUAUUCCUUUUGGGAUCCACGAUGAGAAUUCCCAAGAGAGGUAGUAGUAAUAAGGUCUGAGAUUGGAAAAAAGCCUGUGUCCUUGGAAUGUUGUUGUUGUCGUCAAAAGUUAAUUUUUCCUUCUUUCUUA